GACCAACGCUUGGUCGGGCCAUCUGGCAUGCAAAAUCUUUUGAGCGCCCCUUCUUUGCUCGGCCCGGGAAAAAUUUGGCUCUCAGAUUUUCCGAAAUCCCCACCCCAAGUCCCUUCGGACCAUUCCACCACGCGCAUUGCCCUAGAUUUUUCCUUUCUCCCCCACGGCGCCGCCACUCUCCACCUCCGCCCCCACGCCGCCGCUCAUCUCCACCGUCGCCCCCACACGCGGCCUACUUCUACCACGGGCCACCGUGCCACCACAUGUGCUCGACCGCCGCCGCCCCCAUCGUUCCUCUCCACCGCAGUCCGCGUCCUGCCUCUCACCGCUGCUACUCUUCCUCCCUGCCGCCACAAGAGUUGGACCACCACCCCGCCCUUUCCCCUCCUUGAGGUGGUUGUUCGCCAUCCCAAUUCCCUCAGGGCUGGGGUCGUGUGCUGGGAAUGGGUGUUGGUGGGGUGUUUGUGAAGCAACUGGGGGAUGAAGGGAUCUAGAUAAGAUUCUUGAUGAACUGAAUAAUUUCGCUCUUCUUUGUUUUGGGCAGAGAGCCAUUAUUAGCCCAUGUCCAGCAAAUGUUUGUUGAAAUGCUUGAACAACCAAAAAACUUCAUUCUUGCAUGAUUUUUUAUCCGCCUCUUCAGGAAAAUGAAUGCUAAUGAAGCCAUUUUAUGUUUCUCGGUGUCAUCUUGACAGAAAUUGAGCAGAUAAUGAAAAGAAGUGAUGUAAGCAGACCCCUUUCUUUUGUAUUAUUCUGGAGUAUAGCUAUUUCUGGUUGCAUACUAGUAUUUUUCUCCUGCAAAUUCUUCAGCUCAUAUUUUAGAAUAUAGUGCUUUCUUCUCCACCAAAGUCUAUUGUGUACUCAUGUUCAGUAUUUGUUUUGACUUGAUAAUAGUAGAAAGGAAAGACAGCAGUAAGGAUACUAAUUGUGGUAAUUUUUUUCUUCAGGAGGCAACAACACGGGCAUCUUCUUUGUGAGACCAUCUACUACCUCCAUGUGUUUCUGGUUAUGUUAUUGUUGUAGCAAGAGUUACUAUGGAAUCACUAGUAAUUAAGUGAUGAUUUUUGCAGGAGUUACUAUGGUACAGAACAAUACUUGAGUAUAUAUUUUUGCAGGAGUUACUAUGGUUCAGAACAAUACUUGAGUACAGAACAAUACUUCUGUUUGCCAUGUAACCACUUUCAUGCACUUUGAUAGACUAAUGUAUCCAUGUCAUGCAAUUUGCUUUGUAAUGACUGAUCAAUUCCUUUAGUUCUGAUGGGUCUACUUGUUCUGUACAGCUAGAAAAUGUGGUUAGUUUCUCAAAAAAAAGAAAAUGUGGUUAGUAGAAAAUGCACGGCUACUGUUCUGUAGAAGUACAUUAAUUAGUACAAAAAAAGAGAGUAGCAUCUUUUGAAAGUAAAAUAAUUAAGUAGUUCUGCUACUAUUAUGUUUUUGUUGGAUUCGUUUAUUAGUGUUGAUUAAUAUGCUUAUGUGCUAAUCAUUAAUGUCCUCCAACUUCUAACUUAUUAUUUUUCUUUGUUAUUAGUUUUGUAGAUCCAACAGACUAUGAUCUAUCGAGACAUGUUUGUCUUUUGUAGGAAGGAAAUACACAAGAGAACAUAGUAGCCGGUGGUUCACAUCAAGAUUGCACAAUGGAGGAUUGAUGUUGGAGAUGAAGCUUUUAGCUAUCAUUUUGUAAAACCGGAUCAGUAUGAACUUACAGUCCCUAGUUUUUGCUCUAUCUUGGUAGUAGUGAACUUAGAUGAUGUUUCAUGCACAGUUUGUAAAUGCAAUGAAUUAAUGUACCAUAUUAUCAGUUGAUUUAAUAAUAUGCAUGUUGUUAA